rnacentral:rRNA from 1 species
GCCAACGUCCAUACCACGUUGAAAACACCGGUUCUCGUCUGAUCACCGAAGUUAAGCAACGUCGGGCGCGGUCAGUACUUGGAUGGGUGACCGCCUGGGAACACCGCGUGACGUUGGCU